CAUCUCUCUUUCUCCGGCGUCUUCGCCGGUUCUCACAGCCACCGGCAUGGCGAACGCCGCUGGUGCUAUCCCUCUUUGUCUCUUUCUUAUUUCUCUGUGCUAAUUUUAAUCCUAAUUUCUUUAUAGAUCUGUAAACCCUAAUUUCCUCGACGAUUCUCAAUCUCCCUCUCGAUUCUCGUCCGUCCGGCGGAUAUCGCCGCCGUUGCCGUACUACCGCGCCUUCACACCGUUUGGACCGCUCUUCGUGCACUACGGUACUUCUCUAUAUUCUCUCUCUCUCUCUCUCUCUCUCGCUCGCCGCCCUGUCUGUUUGUCUCCUUCACGGCGGCCGCCGCGCCUCAAGAAGAACCGGCGGUCGUCGCCGCCAGCCCGAGCCUCCUCCGCGGUGGGUUGCAGCCGAGCCGCUGGUGUCCUUUCUUUUUUCUAAUAAUUUUGGAAUAUUGGCUACAAUUUUGUUGUCGCUUAUUUGUUGAUAAAGUGUGGCUUCGUUCUAUACUAUGGUAUUUACUGAUUGUUUGCUGGAGCUCUCAUACUUUGAUGAGACUAGCCGUAAGCUAGAUUUCAUGUCCUUGCUAAGAUUAUUUCAUGAGAAAUGUUGUUGGAAAUGUAUUCCUUUUGAUUUUGUUGCAGUCACUGAGGAUGCUGACUGAGUAUGGGUAAUAUGUCUUUCAUUUUUGUAUAGUAAAAGCACUUUCGACCAUUGCAUCCUUGGCUGGAUAGCCCUUUGUUGAAACUGCUAUUUAUGCCAAUUUUGCACCAUCUUAUUUGCUUUGCCUGCACUUUACUAUUUCUUCACUUCAGUUUGUUCCAAAAAAUGCAAAAAAUGUAUAGUCAAAUUUUGCAUUAGAGUGUUCUCAGUAGCCAGUAGCAAUUAAUUGAUGGAUUUAUUGGAUUGAUUGGCCCCCUCCCCUAGUAUAGUAAUUGGCCAGUAGUUCAAGAAUCCAUGUCAAGGGUAGUGCAUGCCUCUGAUCCUUUGCAGUCAAUGCAGGAAAUCAAUCAAAAUUUUCCUAGUGUCGUGUCUUCAUUAUCUCGUAUGAAGGUAUUGUAAGUUUUUGCAGAUGAUGCAGACGUCUGAUAUUAGAAAUUAUAAUUUAUAAGUCGUGCAAUCUGGAUGUGGCUGAAACACCACUUUUCAAAGACAUGGUGUCCUUCUGUCAGCUGAUGUUUUUUAUAUUAAUCUUUUGCAGCUAAAUGAUUCCAUAAAAGAUGAAAUUAUAGCCAACCAGCGAAUGAUUCCCCCUGGCAAGUCCUUAAUGGCUCUGAAUGGUGCCUUGCUGAAUGUUGAAGAUAUUGACCUUCAUCUGUAAUGCUUCUUUCCUAUACAACUCUUCUCAACGUUCUCUAAUUCCUUCUUUCCUGGUGAAAUCUAAUUCCCUCCUUGUUAGGAAAAAUAGGAAUCUCUCGAAUCUUUAUUGGGGGUGGGGUUGCAUUGCCCUUAUACCCUCAGCUCGUGACAAAAGUUUUGAGGGAGUUUGGCUUGAAUUGAAUUCUGCCAAAAUCAAGUUAAGAGCGGUCUGGGUGCUUCACAUGCAAAAAUGUCAAAUGUUAUGGAGGGUUGUUGUACUGACUAUGUGCAGUGUUGGUCACUUUGGUUAGAGAGAAGUAGAAAAUAAAUUUGAGGAUGAGGAAGAUUCCUCAGAAGAUGUGUGGUAUAGGAUUAAGUUCAGAGUUUCUUUGUAGGUCUCAAAUCAUUAGGAAUUUAGGGCUCUUUUUUUAUUUUCUUUUGUAUGUCAGAGACUCAGAGUUAGGUAGGCUUUGAAGUCGUAUAAUUAGCUAUAAAGCUCUAAUUAAUCUGGGCAUAACUCAACUUAGUCAGUGUAUUAACGCAGAGAGAGAGAGAGAGAGAGAGAGAGAGAGAGGUCCUCAGAUGUUUGUGCAAUUUUUGGCCAAAAAAUUUUGUUCCCGAUUCAUAAUGCUCUUAAUGUUGUGUUAUGCAGGCUGGUUGACAUGGCACAUCAGGAGUUGACAUUGGCAGAUCAGUACAGAAAACUGAAGGUAUUGAAAUUCCACCACGCGACACAUUUAUAACUGACUAUAAGAAGUAAUAGAACUCCUAUAAUCUUUUGAAUUUGUUGAUUUUGAGGUUGAGUAUGGCCUUAGUUGGUCAUGGCCACUUUAGGUUUUUUAGUACUUAUAAGACUCUGGACUCUGAAGUUUAGUACUUAUAAGACUCUGAACUCUGAAGUUUAGUUUGGACUUUCAGAAACCGAGAUACAACCUUAAUUGAGAUAAAAACUUGUGAUCUGGUCAACUAAAAAAAUUAUGACCUAUAUAGGUGUGAGAAUGAGACCUUGGGUGAACUGAAUUGUAAUGUUUAUCUGAUGAGUUCUGUACAAUGAAAGAUUGGGUGGAUGUCCUGUCCCCAUGUUAUACCCCUGCUUAUUUUCUAUACAUAGAAAUUCCUGAUUAAAACAGAAAAAGAUAAAAAAAGGAUGUCAGUAAAAAUAUAUACUAGGAAGUUGAUAUAGCCAAUCGUAAAGAAGUUACUGUAGUGAUCUAUUAUUAUGACUUAAAGCUCGAGGAUAACCUCUUCUAUUUACAUUGUCUAGGUUUAUUAGGAGUUCUGUUCCAUAUCUGCUCAAGAGAAUUGGUUGAAGUACUAGAUCAUAUUAACUUGUGCAGUACAUUACUGAUGUAUGCUUUCUUAGCACUUGGAGUACUUCAAAAUUUCAAUCCAAAGUUCCUUAUCUGGCUAUUGUCUUGCCAAUUACUAUACUAGGGGUUGGGCCUCUUGACAUGGAUUCUUGAACUACUGGCCAAUGAAGACUUAAAGAAAGCAAGGUGGAAAUGAAGAUUUAAAGAAAGCAAGGUGGAAAUGAAGACUUAAAGAAAGCAAGGUGGGAGCAUUGAGAAUGAAGACUUGUAGCUUUUUGUAUAGAUGUUGGAGAUGUUGUAAAAUAAUAGAUCUUUUGUGGAUGUUGGAUGAUUGAUUAUUAUAGAUGAUUAAAUGACAUCUUCAAUAUGUAUAAAUUUAUUAUUUUUACAAUUUAAUGAUAUUUAUAAAUUUAAAAUAGGGAAAAAUAAAUAAAAUAAGAAAAAUAUAUUUUAAAUUUUGAAAGAGUAUAGAUGACGGUUGAAAAGUGUCAAGUAUAUACUUAGAAAUGUCAUUAAAACUUACAUAUAUGACGGUGAGAAAGUGUCAAAUAUAUACCAAUAAUUGUCAUGUAUUUUAUUUUACUUGACGGUCCGAAAACGUCAAGAAAAAUAUUAUGAGUGUCAAGUAUUACAUCAUAGUUGACGGUUUGUAACCGUCAUAUAUACAUAUAUAACCGUCAAGAAUAAUGAGAAUAGAUGACGGUCAAAAACCGUCAUCUAUACUAGGUAUUAUACAUGACACCACUAUACUUGACAGUCGACGGAUACCAUAGAUGACGGUGAAAAACCGUCAAGUAUGAGCGAAUUUCUUGUAGUGACUGUCUUUUUCUUAGUAAACAAUGUAGUUGUAGUGGUACACACUUUGCUGAAAAACUAGGAGUGUUUUAGUCGCAUAAAGAAAAAAAAUGAAGCGAUUUAAUAAUCAUGUUAAAAUUACAAAUUCGAGUAAGUAUUGUGCUAUUUCUGACAAUUAACCCUAUAUUUUAUAAAGCAGGUUCUGUAUUUAUGUCAGAUGGAUAUGGAAGUUUUGAUGAAGCAAUUAAACAACUAGGAGGCAUUUUGCCGAAAUAAAGGGAAAGAGAGGGUGGGACUAAAGCUUCAUUACCUGAUAAUUUCCAACAAUACAAUAUUUGAAUCCAGCAGCAGAAUAGGCAAAAUAGUAUUCCCACGUCCGUAUGAACUUCUCAUCAAACCCAAGAGCCACAAUUUGACUAACAGAGAGAAAAGUUUUGCAAUUUAAACAAUCAACAGUGGAUUCUUUAAAUGUAUACAAAUUCAUCAUAUAUUUAAUUAAUUAAUUUGCUACAUUAAUUUUGCAUUUAACUUUUGGGGGUGUAAGGUCAUAUGCAUGUAGUUUUUAAUGUCAUUUCUUUGUCUAAUAUUUGUACUAGCCGCGGGCUCAACUUACUUUCUAGGGUUAAUUGCUAAACAAAUCAACACUUUCGACACAUUUUGCAGUUUCAACACCAUUUUUCAAACAUUUCAAUAAAGACUCCACUUUUUGAUUCGUAGAAAUCGACACACUCCAAUAUUUUAAAGGUGGGUCUCUAAAUUAACUGCGAAAUGGAUGAAAAGUGGUGAUUUAUUUGACAACUUACCCUAUUUUCCAAUUUAAAGGUGGAAUUAUGCUAUCUAUCAAUAUGGAUUCAGAUUUAUUUAAUGUUAAUUAGUUUUUGUGUUUCCCACAUUCGUACCUCUGGUUUUUGAAGAAGUUCUGCCGCCAAACUCUAAGGGUCUCAUAGUAAUGGGUUCCUCUUUCUUCUAGGUGCACCACACUGCACAAAGUUAUUUCAUUGAAUAGAACACGUGAUUUACCUUAGAAAUAUAUAUUUUUAUUAAGAACUAUAAUGUCACCUAAGCCUGGAUGCUGCAGCCAUUGCAGAUAUUACGCGGUUAAGUGAAGGCAAACAUCCACCAUGGAAUAUGUAUUCUUGGCCGAAUCCGUAGCUGCUCCUCCACUCAUCAUACUUCUCAUCAGCUACCGCAGUGAACUGAAGAAAAAUCGAGCAGUUAUAAAGCGUAGAAUCCACAUGCUAAUCUGAUGAGGAAAAAAACUGAGAGCUAUCUUGACAACCAAAAUGUAGGAAUUACCUGAAGAAUAAGAAUGCCGUUUUUGGCUAAAUAAGAAUCACAGCAUUUAAAAAAGUCCUCCAUGAAUUCAUGCCCAACAUGUUCUAUCAUCUCACUGGAAAUUCAGCAUGAGAAAUAUAUACAAACUUAAAUUAAAAGGUUGAGAUGAUAUAGCAACAAAGAGUCUUACCAUCCUAUUAUCCUAUCAUAUUUGGAGUUGUUAGGCAGUUGGCGGUAGUCACACAGAAGAAAUUCAAUUUGGUCCUGAUAUUAAAAUUUUAAACAUGAGAAAUGACAUCUCAUAACACUAUGCACAAAAUUAUAGAGGUCUUCCCAAGCAAAUCCGAGAUUUCCUUAUCAUAUGCAUGAAAUAACUAAAUAAAAUGUUGUACCUGCAGACCUGUUUCCUUCACUUUCGAUUCUACGUACUGCAGCUGAUUUUCUGACAAUGUAAUGCCAGUAUAUUUGCAUCCUGUUUUUUUGACUACUUCAAAUGCGAAACUUCCCCAACCACAUCCAAUCUCUAGAAUGUGAUGAUCUGUAUUAAUUCUUGCCUGUAGUCAAAGAGAGUUUAGUGUACGAGUUAUUAUGUGAGCCACAUGUUAUUAUUAGUGUAAUAAGCUAAUAAAAAUUGGUCAAUUAAGUGAGUGGUUUCUUCAUUAUCCACUUGGAAAGAAAGUGGACAAUAGAUACUUUUAUGGGCUCAAAGAAACUGCCUAUCUAGAAACAUAAGGUCUCCAAUAUUCAAUCACCAUAAAGGGAAGAGAGAGAAUAAGUUUUAUGAUGAGGAGAUAUAAGAUGGGUAGUGUAGCAACGUACUCUAAUAAAUCUUUAAGUACUUAUUGUAAAAAUUAAGAAUUUUGAAGACUUUGGCUAUGAUGAUAUGGCUCAUAUAAAUUAUUUGCUAACAUUUAGCAUCUGCUACGGUCAUUUCGAGACUUAAGAAAUAUAUGAAUAAACCUUACCUUUUCAAUCAAGGUAUGGAUUUUCCUGAGCUGGGCAUUCUUUAAGUCCUCGCCUGGAUUCUUUAACGACAAUAAAAGAUAUUAUUGGUGUUCAUCGUAUUAUAGUCUAUAGAUACAACUACAAGGCCUAUCAACAGAUCUACUGAAAUCAUUAAUACUACCUGAAAUAUUGCGCAAGAAUACAUCAUUGUUUCAUCCAUAAAUAGAGAAAAUAGCUCAUUACUCUGCCAAAAGUAAAAGUAAAAUAAUUAUUUAUAAGAACUAAGGUCUUUAAAUCAUUAAGCAGACGGUAGAGAGCGACAUGAUUACAGAAACCUACUUAAAAACUAGGAUAUAUCGAAAAUAAAGCAAUGUUUAUAAGACAAAAAUAAAAGACAGUUGCAUACUUCUGAAAAAGCAAUGUUUUUAUAUAAAAUAUUUUGGAUAAUUUUAAUUAGUUUAAUAUUAAACUCUUUGUUGUCUGAUUAGUCUAUAAUACUUCUGAAAAGGCAAUAGUGCUUACCCCAGAAGUAAAGUGCAUUGCACUAUAAUAUACUCCAUCCUUUCCAAUAAUAACGUCCCAAACUUCUUUUUUGGGCGUCCCAUUUAUAAUGUCUCAACCCAAAAAAGGAAAUAAUUUAUUUUAUCUUCUCUUUCUAUCUCUCUCCUCAUUUACUUUAUCUGUUACUUUUUCAUAAUUCUCUAUAUCUCUCUCCUCAUUUACUUUAUCUCUCUUACUUUAUCUACAUUUUCUUAAUUUGUGUGCCCCAUUUUUUGGGACGUUAUUAUUGGGACAGAGGGAGUAUAUAGGAUUUUAUUGACUUUCUAUAUACGUGGUUUUUGUCAUUUUGGAAAUAAAAUAUCCUUUUUCUAAUAACUUUAAUUUAAAACUAUUCGUAUUUUUAGAUGACAACGGUCUUUUUAUUGUUCUGCAAAUUGCACUUUCUAUUUCUAGUUCACCUUAACCAUUCUGCAGAUGCUACUAUGCUCGUAGUUUGAUGGCUCUCCUAUAAUCUAAUAGAGAAUUAGUCCAGAUACUCAAAUAUUUUAAUAUAACAUGUGUGGGAUAAACUCCCAAAACCAUAUGAUCUAUUAUAAAUAUCAUGCAUGUCAUAGCAAGUUAAAAGCCAAAACGAUUAACAUAUUAAGGCUUGGUCUUCAGGGCAUAAUUUAAAGGGAGACAUUUAAUAUGAUCAAAUUUUAUUCUCGAGGGUAAAUUUGUAAAUGAUAAAUUUGCAUUGUUAUAAUCAUGAAUAUGUAGGAACCACUUACUAGGUCAUAAUGCUGCGAGAUGUUAUGGUGGGCCUGAGAUAGGGUGUUCUUCCUGUAAACACGCUUGAAGAAAUUUUUUGCAGAAGCCACUACAGAAGUGUGAGAGAAAUUUGUCCACCAUCUCCUAAAGAUAAACAGCACAGUUCAUAUAUUCUCAUUAUUUUCCAUAUUCAGGAUUUAUAUAUAUAUUGAUAGUUUUUUAUGUUGAUUUAUACUACCUUCCCUUGUUGAAGUCUGAGGUAUAAUAAUUCAAUUCUGUGUUUGCAAUAAUCAGCUGCAAAACACAAGUUCGAGAAAGUAUACUUUUAGAUAAAAUGAUAGCUGCAGAGUUAAAAUUUAAUGAAAAGUGCUAUAUUUAGAUCCAUUAUCAUACCAGAAGAAAGUUAAGAAGGC
rnacentral:lncRNA from 1 species